rnacentral:rRNA from 1 species
GACGAACCGUGCGAACGUUAUUCGGAAUCACUGGGCUUAAAGCGCGUGUAGGCGGGAGGGCACGUCCGUCGCUGAAAUCCCCCGGCUCAACCGGGGAACGGGCGCGGAUACGACCUUCCUGGAGGGGCGUAGGGGGACCUGGAACUUCCGGUGGAGCGGUGAAAUGCGUUGAGAUCGGAAGGAACGCCCGUGGCGAAAGCGAGGUCCUGGACCCUUUCUGACGCUGAGACGCGAAAGCCAAGGGAGCGAACGGG